GUUAUAGGGUCAAGUGAAUAAGUGCAUAUGGUGGAUGCCUUGGCGAUUACAGGCGAUGAAGGACGUGAUAGCCUGCGAAAAGGUUCGGGGAGCUGGCAAAUAAGCUUUGAUCCGGACAUAUCCGAAUGGGGAAACCUACCCGCAAGGGUAACCGCUCCUGAAUAUAUAGGGAGAUGGUGGCGAACUGAGUGAACUGAAACAUCUAAGUAGCUCAAGGAAAAGAAAUCAACCGAGAUUCCGUAAGUAGUGGCGAGCGAACAUGGAACAGCCUGUUAUUUUUAGCAUGUGCGAUAGUAGAACGGAAUGGAAAGUCCGGCCAUAGUGGGUGAUAGCCCCGUAUACGAAAUCCCGCGUGUGGAACUAGGGUAACGACAAGUAGGGCGGGGCACGAGAAACCCUGUCUGAACAUGGGGGGACCAUCCUCCAAGGCUAAAUACUCGUAAUCGACCGAUAGUGAACCAGUACCGUGAGGGAAAGGCGAAAAGAACCCCGGGAGGGGAGUGAAAUAGAUCCUGAAACCGUAUGCAUACAAACAGUGGGAGCCGAAAGGUGACUGCGUACCUUUUGUAUAAUGGGUCAGCGACUUACAUUCAGUAGCGAGCUUAACCGAUAGGGGAGGCGUAGCGAAAGCGAGUCCGAAUAGGGCGUCUAGUUGCUGGGUGUAGACCCGAAACCAAGUGAUCUAUCCAUGGCCAGGAUGAAGGUACCGUAACAGGUGCUGGAGGUCCGAACCCACAAAUGUUGAAAAAUUUGGGGAUGAGCUGUGGAUAGGGGUGAAAGGCUAAACAAACUUGGAAAUAGCUGGUUCUCUCCGAAAACUAUUUAGGUAGUACCUCGUAUCUCACUCUCGGGGGUAGAGCACUGUUAUGGCUAGGGGGCUCAUAAGAGCUUACCAAACCAUUGCAAACUCCGAAUACUGAGAAGUGCAAUUACGGGAGACAGUCCAUGGGUGCUAACGUCCGUGGACAAGAGGGAAACAACCCAGACCGCCAGCUAAGGUCCCAAAUGACGUGCUAAGUGGAAAACGAAGUGGGAAGGCACAGACAGCCAGGAUGUUGGCUUAGAAGCAGCCAUCAUUUAAAGAAAGCGUAAUAGCUCACUGGUCGAGUCGUCCUGCGCGGAAGAUGUAACGGGGCUAAGCACGUAACCGAAGCUGCGGAUGCGUACACUUCUUUUAGAUAAUUCAAACCUAAGUCCUAAGGGGCGCUUGUGAGCGAAGAUGUUGAAAAACAUCUCGCGAGCAAAGCUUUAGCUUCAGUGUAGACUAACCUUCAGGUUAUGUCGUAACUAAAGCGCCCUGCUCACUGGUAGAGAUAGUGAGCAAAGAGCGAAUGAUUGAGUUGUUUAAAAGAAGUGUACGCAUGGUAGGAGAGCGUUCUGUAGGCCUGCGAAGGUGUUCUGUGAGGGAUGCUGGAGGUAUCAGAAGUGCGAAUGCUGACAUGAGUAGCGAUAAAGGGUGUGAAAAGCACCCUCGCCGAAAGCCCAAGGUUUCCUGCGCAACGUUCAUCGGCGCAGGGUGAGUCGGCCCCUAAGGUGAGGCAGAGAUGCGUAGCUGAUGGGAAACAGGUUAAUAUUCCUGUACCUCGAUACAAUGCGAUGUGGGGACGGAGAAGGUUAGGUCAGCCGGGUGUUGGAUGUCCCGGUUCAAGCGUGUAGGUUGGUUCUUUAGGUAAAUCCGGAGGGCUAAGACUGAGACGUGAUAACGAGUGUACUUGUACACGAAGUGAUUGAUACCAUGCUUCCAAGAAAAGCCACUAAGCUUCAGUUGUAUCAGACCGUACCGCAAACCGACACAGGUGGGCAGGAUGAGAAUUCUAAGGCGCUUGAGAGAACCCGGGAGAAGGAACUCGGCAAAUUAGCACCGUAACUUCGGGAGAAGGUGCGCCCUGGUAGCGUGUAGAGAUUUACUCUUGAAGCGUGAAGGGGUUGCAGUGAAAAGGUUUCUGCGACUGUUUAAUAAAAACACAGCACUCUGCAAACACGAAAGUGGACGUAUAGGGUGUGACGCCUGCCCGG
rnacentral:rRNA from 1 species